GACGAACGCUGGCGGCGUGCUUAACACAUGCAAGUCGAACGAUGAAGCUAGAGCUUGCUCUGGUGGAUUAGUGGCGAACGGGUGAGUAACACGUGAGUAACCUGCCCCGAACUCUGGGAUAACUGCUGGAAACGGUAGCUAAUACCGGAUAUGACCAAUGAAGGCAUCUUCUGUUGGUGGAAAGAAUUUCGGUUCGGGAUGGACUCGCGGCCUAUCAGCUUGUUGGUGAGGUAACGGCUCACCAAGGCGACGACGGGUAGCCGGCCUGAGAGGGUGAUCGGCCACACUGGGACUGAGACACGGCCCAGACUCCUACGGGAGGCAGCAGUGGGGAAUAUUGCACAAUGGGCGAAAGCCUGAUGCAGCAACGCCGCGUGAGGGACGAAGGCCUUCGGGUUGUAAACCUCUUUUAGCAGGGAAGAAGCGAAAGUGACGGUACCUGCAGAAAAAGCACCGGCUAACUACGUGCCAGCCGCCGCGGUAA
rnacentral:rRNA from 1 species